CGCCCAACGGCCGUCGCGGGCUCCGGGUAGCGGCCGUACCGCGGGGCCCGCCGAGCUGUUGGCUGGGGUGGCCAUGGCCGCGGGCAUCUUCUUGAUGAGCAGCCGCCGGCGGCGCUGCCGGACACGCGAGCGGGCCCCGGUCUGCAGGUGACAUCGCAGAGUGGCUGAAACACACGCAGUACGGCAAGAGUGUGCGUCGGUGAGAAUAAACGAGGCGUGAGUUAUGGGGCUGCCAGAUGCACUCCACGCUGUGAACUCUACAGUGGCCGAGCUUUCUUCUAGGCAUUUGGCUGAAAAGCUUCCUGCUUACCUGUGAAGGAGUGGCAACAGCUGAUGAGCAAGUGUCUCUCCUCUUCUGAAAAAGACACAGUCAGGAUGCAGCAGGUCAUGGCUCAAGCGCUUGGGUCCCUGCCGCCUAUAUGGGAGUGGUUCCAGGCUCCUGGCUUCAGCCUCACCUGUUUGUCUAAGGGGUGAACCAGUGGAUAGAAGAUCUCUGUCUCCCUUCUCUGCCUUUCAAAUAAAUAAAAACUUAAAGACAGCA